rnacentral:rRNA from 1 species
UUCUGAACCUUCUCGCCAUAAAAGUGGGGGGCUAAGGUAGCAGUAGUUUUCAUCAUAGUCCACCAGGAUACUCUCUUGGUGUGUACUGGGUGUUAACCUCCUUUUUUUCUGGUACUUGCUAUCCAGCAAUGGGUAGUUUUGUCCAGAUAGUUUACUUUGAAAAAAAUUAGAGUGUUCAAAGCAGGCAUAAUUGGCAUCAUGAAUACAUUAGCAUGGGAUAAUAGAAUAUGACAUUGGUCUUAUUUUGUUGGUUUCUAAGGCCAAAGUAAUGAUUGAUAGGGAUAGUUGGGGCCGCUCGUAUUGAGUUGUCAGAGGUGAAAAUUCUAGGAUUUACUCAAGACGAACUAAUGCGAAAGCAUUCGGCAAGGAUGUUUUCAUUAAUCAAGAACGAAAGUUGGGGGAUCGAAGAUGAUCAGAUACCGUCGUAGUCUCAACCAUAAACUAUGUCAACCGAGGAUCCGGUAGCGUUACAUGGAUGACCUUCCGGGCACUCUGUGAGAAAUCAUAAGUAUUUGGAUUUCGGGGGGAGUG